CUGCAAGACUGCCGCCGAAGAUUCGCCUGCAGAAGCUUCGGCGGGGGGAGUUCGGCGGCAGUCCGGCUGCU
rnacentral:pre_miRNA from 1 species